GGUUGUGUUAGUAUGUCCAUGGGUAGUGUUAUGAGCCUGGUGAUAGUUUGACAAGGCUUUGGUGGAGGUUGUGUUAGUAUGUCCAUGGGUAGUGUUGUGAGCCUGGUGAUAGUUUGACAAGGCUUUGGUGGAGGUUGUGUUGGUAUGUCCAUGGGUAGUGUUGUGAGCCUGGUGAUAGUUUGACAAGGCUUUGGUGGAGGUUGUGUUAGUAUGUCCAUGGGUAGUGUUGUGAGCCUGGUGAUAGUUUGACAAGGCUUUGGUGGAGGUUGUGUUAGUAUGUCCAUGGGUAGUGUUGUGAGCCUGGUGAUAGUUUGACAAGGCUUUGGUGGAGGUUGUGUUAGUAUGUCCAUGGGUAGUGUUAUGAGCCUGGUGAUAGUUUGACAAGGCUUUGGUGGAGGUUGUGUUAGUAUGUCCAUGGGUAGUGUUAUGAGCCUGGUGAUUGUUUGACAAGGCUUUGGUGGAGGUUGUGUUAGUAUGUCCAUGGGUAGUGUUAUGAGCCUGGUGAUAGUUUGACAAGGCUUUGGUGGAGGUUGUGUUAGUGUGUCCAUGGGUAGUGUUAUGAGCCUGGUGAUAGUUUGACAAGGCUUUGGUGGAGGUUGUGUUAGUAUGUCCAUGGGUAGUGUUAUGAGCCUGGUGAUAGUUUGACAAGGCUUUGGUGGAGGUUGUGUUAGUAUGUCCAUGGGUAGUGUUAUGAGCCUGGUGAUAGUUUGACAAGGCUUUGGUGGAGGUUGUGUUAGUAUGUCCAUGGGUAGUGUUAUGAGCCUGGUGAUAGUUUGACAAGGCUUUGGUGGAGGUUGUGUUAGUAUGUCCAUGGGUAGUGUUAUGAGCCUGGUGAUAGUUUGACAAGGCUUUGGUGGAGGUUGUGUUAGUAUGUCCAUGGGUAGUGUUAUGAGCCUGGUGAUAGUUUGACAAGGCUUUGGUGGAGGUUGUGUUAGUAUGUCCAUGGGUAGUGUUAUGAGCCUGGUGAUAGUUUGACAAGGCUUUGGUGGAGGUUGUGUUAGUAUGUCCAUGGGUAGUGUUAUGAGCCUGGUGAUAGUUUGACAAGGCUUUGGUGGAGGUUGUGUUAGUAUGUCCAUGGGUAGUGUUAUGAGCCUGGUGAUAGUUUGACAAGGCUUUGGUGGAGGUUGUGUUAGUAUGUCCAUGGGUAGUGUUAUGAGCCUGGUGAUAGUUUGACAAGGCUUUGGUGGAGGUUGUGUUAGUAUGUCCAUGGGUAGUGUUAUGAGCCUGGUGAUAGUUUGACAAGGCUUUGGUGGAGGUUGUGUUAGUAUGUCCAUGGGUAGUGUUAUGAGCCUGGUGAUAGUUUGACAAGGCUUUGGUGGAGGUUGUGUUAGUAUGUCCAUGGGUAGUGUUAUGAGCCUGGUGAUAGUUUGACAAGGCUUUGGUGGAGGUUGUGUUAGUAUGUCCAUGGGUAGUGUUAUGAGCCUAGUGAUAGUUUGACAAGGCUUUGGUGGAGGUUGUGUUAGUAUGUCCAUGGGUAGUGUUAUGAGCCUGGUGAUAGUUUGACAAGGCUUUGGUGGAGGUUGUGUUAGUAUGUCCAUGGGUAGUGUUAUGAGCCUGGUGAUAGUUUGACAAGGCUUUGGUGGAGGUUGUGUUAGUAUGUCCAUGGGUAGUGUUAUGAGCCUGGUGAUAGUUUGACAAGGCUUUGGUGGAGGUUGUGUUAGUAUGUCCAUGGGUAGUGUUAUGAGCCUGGUGAUAGUUUGACAAGGCUUUGGUGGAGGUUGUGUUAGUGUGUCCAUGGGUAGUGUUAUGAGCCUGGUGAUAGUUUGACAAGGCUUUGGUGGAGGUUGUGUUAGUAUGUCCAUGGGUAGUGUUAUGAGCCUGGUGAUAGUUUGACAAGGCUUUGGUGGAGGUUGUGUUAGUGUGUCCAUGGGUAGUGUUAUGAGCCUGGUGAUAGUUUGACAAGGCUUUGGUGGAGGUUGUGUUGGUAUGUCCAUGGGUAGUGUUGUGAGCCUGGUGAUAGUUUGACAAGGCUUUUGCACCAUGAACAUUAAAAACAUUCAUGAGAGCCCAACUAAUCUCCCUUGUGGCCUCU